UGGGGAAUAUUGCACAAUGGGGGAAACCCUGAUGCAGCGACGCCGCGUGAGUGAAGAAGUAUUUCGGUAUGUAAAGCUCUGUCAGCAGGGAAGAAGAAAGACGGUACCUGACCAAGAAGCCCCGGCUAACUACGUGCCAGCAGCCGCGGUAAUACGUAGGGGGCAAGCGUUAUCCGGAAUCACUGGGUGUAAAGGGAGCGUAGACGGCUGUGCAAGCCUGGAGUGAAAGGCGGGGGCCCAACCCCCGGACUGCUCUGGGAACUGUAUGGCUGGAGUGCAGGAGAGGUAAGUGGAAUUCCUGGU
rnacentral:rRNA from 1 species